rnacentral:rRNA from 1 species
AGUGAACGCUGGCGGUAGGCCUAACACAUGCAAGUCGAACGGCAGCACAGUAAGAGCUUGCUCUUACGGGUGGCGAGUGGCGGACGGGUGAGGAAUACAUCGGAAUCUACUUUUUCGUGGGGGAUAACGUAGGGAAACUUACGCUAAUACCGCAUACGACCUACGGGUGAAAGCAGGGGAUCUUCGGACCUUGCGCGAUUGAAUGAGCCGAUGUCGGAUUAGCUAGUUGGCGGGGUAAAGGCCCACCAAGGCGACGAUCCGUAGCUGGUCUGAGAGGAUGAUCACCCACACUGGAAUUGGACACGGGCCCAGACCCCUAGGGGAGGCAGCAGGGGGGAUUUUGGGAAAAGGGGCGAAAGCCUGACCCAGCCAUCCCGGGGGGGUGAAGAAGGCCUUCGGGUUUUAAAGCCCUUUUUUUGGGAAAAAAAAGCAGCGGGUUAAUCCCCCGCUUUUCUGACGGUACCAAAAAAAAAAGCACCGGCUAACUUCGG